AUGGCCCUGACUGAAGGCCAGAGGUUGGUUACACUACAGCUGAUGGUUUCAAGAGAGGCCUAAAGAAGUGUCUUCCUGUGGUUUAUUGGCUGUUCUAAAGGAUCAAAAGAGAAUGGCUGUUGUAUUUGAAAGAAACAGCC